UACGAAGGGGGCUAGCGUUGUUCGGAAUUACUGGGCGUAAAGCGCACGUAGGCGGACUAUUAAGUCAGGGGUGAAAUCCCGGGGCUCAACCCCGGAACUGCCUUUGAUACUGGUAGUCUCGAGUCCGGGAGAGGUGAGUGGAACUGCGAGUGUAGAGGUGAAAUUCGUAGAUAUUCGCAAGAACACCAGUGGCGAAGGCGGCUCACUGGCCCGGUACUGACGCUGAGGUGCGAAAGCGUGGGGAGCAAACAGG
rnacentral:rRNA from 1 species